rnacentral:rRNA from 1 species
CUCUGGGGCUAUACCACCCUGAAAACACCCAAUCGCAUCUGAUCUCAGAAGCUAAGGAAGGUCAGUUCAGGCCAGGUUAGUAUUUGGAUAGGAAAGUUAGAUAAAUGUAUGUUUAUCCAUUCA